UGCCCUUUCCCUUUGGUUUCAGGCUGAAAGUAACCACCUGGCGGUUCCAGCAGGAAAGAAAUGCAAGCGUUGCUAGUGGCUGGCUAGCGAGCGCUCGUCUCGGGUUCGAGGUCCCAAGACCACGGUCGUGGUGCUCUACGAAGCCUGAGACAGUGCGGCUCUGCUGGCAGCAAGCUCGUAGCUGCGACUGCGCUCCAGAGAGGGGACGCAAGCUGUAUGACCAGGGACCUCACGCGCUAGCUCAGUUGUUGUGGGCAUCUGACUUCUAGCCAAUCAAGACCUCCAGAGACCCCUGAGACUGGGGUGCUGUGGGAGGAGCUGAGAAGCAAUCAUCACCACAUCAAGAAGCAGCAAUCUUCCAGCCAAUCAAGACAUCCGCUAGAGACGGCUGAGACUGGGGUGCCUCAGGAAGAGCUGAAGUGAGAGAGACUCCAGUAUUUGCAAAUCUCCAGGCUUAGCGAUCCUCAUAUUUCAGACAGUAACCUAGAACUGUGCCCAUCGGGCCUGAGGGAGCUGCAGGCAAUACCACUGCUUCCUGCAACACAGCGUGCUCCCACCACAUCCAGAUUUUAUUCACUGACUUUCUGCAUCUCAGCCACUUACAGAGUACUCUUUGAGAAGUGAGAGGCCAGUGGCUGGAGAUUUGGAUCUGUUAGCAAAGUGCUUGCCACAAAAGCAUGAGAACCUGGGUUCUUAUCCCCGGCACCCUUGCAAAAACUUGGCAGCUUCUAUAAUCCCAGGGCUGCAGAGACAGGGAUCCUAGGUACUUGUAACCAGCCAGAGUAGGCAAUGAGUGAGUUGCAUGUUCCUGGAGAGACCCUGACUCAAAAGAGGAGGUAAAGAGCAAUAAAGAGAAUAUGCUGA